rnacentral:rRNA from 1 species
CAAUAGCGUAUAUUAAAGUUGUUGCGGUUAAAAAGCUCGUAGUUGGAUUUCUGCCGAGGACGACCGGUCCGCCCUCUGGGUGAGCAUCUGGAUCGGCCUGGGCAUCCUCUUGGGGAACGUAGCUGCACUUGACUGUGUGGUGCGGUAUCCAGGACUUUUACUUUGAGGAAAUUAGAGUGUUCACGGCAAGCAAUCGCUUUGAAUACAUUAGCAUGGAAUAAUAAUAUAGGACCUUGGUACUAUUUUGUUGGUUUCUAGAACUAAGGUAAUGAUUAAUAGGGAUAAUUGGGGGCAUUCGUAUUAACGCGUCAGAGGUGGAAUUCUUGGAUUGCGUUACGACGAACUACUGCGAAAGCAUUUGCCAAGGAUGUUUUCAUUGAUCAAGAACGAAAGUAUGGGAUCGAAGAUGAUCAGAUACCAU